UUUAAAGAAAGCGUAACAGCUCACUGGUCUAAAUAAGAGGUUCUGCGGCGAAGAUGUAACGGGGCUAAAGUGAUGCACCGAAGCUUAGGGUGUGGCGUAAGCCACGCGGUAGCGGAGCGUUCCGUAAGCCUGUGAAGCGAUCUGGUAAUGGGUCGUGGAGGUAUCGGAAGUGCGAAUGCAGACAUGAGUAGCGAUAAAAAGGGUGAGAUGCCCUUUCGCCGAAAGACCAAGGGUUCCUGCGCAAGGCUAAUCCGCGCAGGGUGAGUCGGCCCCUAAGACGAGCCCGAAGGGGGUAGUCGAUGGGAACACGGUUAAUAUUCCGUGACCUGGUGGUGUGUGACGGAUCUCGUGUGUUGUUCUCCCUUAUUGGAUUGGGAGGGCUUCGAAGAGGUUCCAGGAAAUAGCCUCCACAUUAGACCGUACCCGAAACCGACACAGGUGGACUGGUAGAGUAUACCAAGGCGCUUGAGAGAAGUCUCCUGAAGGAACUCGGCAAAUUGCCUCCGUACCUUCGGAAGAAGGAGGCCCCAACUAAGCGCAAGCUCUGUUGGGGGGCACAGGCCAGGGGGUAGCGACUGUUUAGCAAAAACACAGGGCUCUGCUAAGUCGGCUUCAAGACGACGUAUAGGGCCUGACGCCUGCCCGGUGCCUGAAGGUUAAGUGGAGGGGUGCAAGCUCUGAAAUGAAGCCCAGGUAAACGGCGGCCGUAACAAUAACGGUCCUAAGGUAGCGAAAUUCCUUGUCAGGUAAGUUCUGACCCGCA
rnacentral:rRNA from 1 species